rnacentral:rRNA from 1 species
UGCGAGCGUUGUCCGGAAUUAUUGGGCGUAAAGAGCUCGUAGGCGGUCUGUCGCGUCGAUCGUGAAAACUUGGGGCUUAACCCUGAGCUUGCGGUCGAUACGGGCAUGACUGGAGUUCGGCAGGGGAGACUGGAAUUCCUGGUGUAGCGGGGAAAUGCGCAGAUAUCAGGAGGAACACCGGUGGCGAAGGCGGGUCUCUGGGCCGAUACUGACGCUGAGGAGCGAAAGCGUGGGGAGCGAACAGG